AUUGAACGCUGGCGGCAGGCCUAACACAUGCAAGUCGAACGAGUGGCGGACGGGUGAGUAAUGUCUGGGAAACUGCCCGUUGGAGGGGGCUAACGACUGGAAACGGUAGCUAAUCCCGCAUACCAUUGGAUGUGGCCAGAGGGGAUUAGCUAGUAGGUGGGGUAACGGCCCACCAAGGCGACGAUCCCUAGCUGGUCUGAGAGGAUGACCAGCCAAACUGGAACUGAGACACGGUCCAGACUCCUACGGGAGGCAGCAGUGGGGAAUAUUGCACAAUGGGCGAAAGCCUGAUGCAGCCAUGCCGCGUGUAUGAAGAAGGCCUUCGGGUUGUAAAGUACUUUCAGCUAGGAGGCGUUACUCGCAGAAGAAGCACCGGCUAACUCCGUGCCAGCAGCCGCGGUAAUAC
rnacentral:rRNA from 1 species